ensembl:ncRNA Y18D10A.28 ncRNA
CUUAGGCUUAGGCUCUGGCUUACGCUUAAGCUUAAAACUAAGCCUUAACCUUAGGCUUAGGCUUAAAACUAAGCCUUAGCCAUAGCCUUAGGCUUAGGCUUAGAU